rnacentral:rRNA from 1 species
ACAAGGUUUCCGUAGGUGAACCUGCGGAAGGAUCAUUACCGAGUGCGGGCCCUCGCGGCCCAACCUCCCACCCGUGUCUCUCUCUACCUGUUGCUUUGGCGGGCCCACCGGGGCCACCCGGUCGCCGGGGGACGUCGUCCCCGGGCCCGCGCCCGCCGAAGCGCUCUGUGAACCCUGAUGAAGAUGGGCUGUCUGAGUCGAAUGAAAAUUGUCAAAACUUUCAACAAUGGAUCUCUUGGUUCCGGCAUCGAUGAAGAACGCAGCGAAAUGCGAUAAGUAAUGUGAAUUGCAGAAUUCCGUGAAUCAUCGAAUCUUUGAACGCACAUUGCGCCCCCUGGCAUUCCGGGGGGCAUGCCUGUCCGAGCGUCAUUUCUGCCCUCAAGCCCGGCUUGUGUGUUGGGCGUGGUCCCCCCGGGGACCUGCCCGAAAGGCAGCGGCGACGUCCGUCUGGUCCUCGAGCGUAUGGGGCUCUGUCACUCGCUCGGGACGGAUCGGCGGAGGUUGGUCACCACCACAGUUUUACCACGGUUGACCUCGGAUCAGGUAGGAGUUACCCGAUGAAAUUAAUCAUA